rnacentral:rRNA from 1 species
UGGGGAAUAUUGCAGCAAUGGGCGCAAGCCUGAUGCAGCCAUGCCGCGUGUGUGAAGAAGGCCUUCGGGUUGUAAAGCACUUUCAGCGAGGAGGAAGGUGGUGAACUUAAUACGUUCAUCAAUUGACGUUACUCGCAGAAGAAGCACCGGCUAACUCCGUGCCAGCAGCCGCGGUAAUACGGAGGGUGCAAGCGUUAAUCGGAAUUACUGGGCGUAAAGCGCACGCAGGCGGUUUGUUAAGUCAGAUGUGAAAUCCCCGGGCUCAACCUGGGAACUGCAUUUGAAACUGGCAAGCUAGAGUCUCGUAGAGGGGGGUAGAAUUCCAGGUGUAGCGGUGAAAUGCGUAGAGAUCUGGAGAAUACCGGUGGCGAAGGCGGCCCCCUGGACGAAGACUGACGCUCAGG